rnacentral:rRNA from 1 species
GACGAACGCUGGCGGCGUGCUUAACACAUGCGAGUCGAACGGAAAGGCCCUGCUUUUGUGGGGUGCUCGAGUGGCGAACGGGUGAGUAACACGUGAGUAACCUGCCCUUGACUUUGGGAUAACUUCAGGAAACUGGGGCUAAUACCGGAUAGGAGCUCCUGCUGCAUGGUGGGGGUUGGAAAGUUUCGGCGGUUGGGGAUGGACUCGCGGCUUAUCAGCUUGUUGGUGGGGUAGUGGCUUACCAAGGCUUUGACGGGUAGCCGGCCUGGGAGGGUGACCGGCCACAUUGGGACUGAGAUACGGCCCAGACUCCUACGGGAGGCAGCAGUGGGGAAUAUUGCACAAUGGGCGGAAGCCUGAUGCAGCAACGCCGCGUGUGGGAUGACGGCCUUCGGGUUGUAAACCGCUUUCGCCUGUGACGAAGCGUGAGUGACGGUAAUGGGUAAAGAAGCACCGGCUAACUACGUG